rnacentral:rRNA from 1 species
CCUACGGGUGGCAGCAGUGGGGAAUAUUGGGCAAUGGGCGCAAGCCUGACCCAGCAACGCCGCGUGAAGGAAGAAGGCUUUCGGGUUGUAAACUUCUUUUGUCAGGGAAGAGUAGAAGACGGUACCUGACGAAUAAGCCACGGCUAACUACGUGCCAGCAGCCGCGGUAAUACGUAGGUGGCAAGCGUUGUCCGGAUUUACUGGGUGUAAAGGGCGUGUAGCCGGGUUGACAAGUCAGAUGUGAAAUCCUGCGGCUUAACCGCAGAACUGCAUUUGAAACUGUUGAUCUUGAGUACUGGAGAGGCAGACGGAAUUCCUAGUGUAGCGGUGAAAUGCGUAGAUAUUAGGAGGAACACCAGUGGCGAAGGCAGCAUACCGGCGCUCAACUGACGCUGAGGCACGAAAGCGUGGGGAUCGAACAGGAUUAGAUACCCGAGUAGUC